rnacentral:lncRNA from 1 species
GGGACACUGCAGGCUUCGAUAAUGUAGGUUCAGGCAGUUUUCUGCCGCAGACGAUGGCAAGAACAGAUUGUUCGACAUCCUGCUCUGCUGAAAAUGAAGGUGCCCCUCAUGAGGCUUUAUCUUUUGCUCUUGGUUACCUUGGAGUGAAGGAUCUUUUGACUGUAGAAAGUGUUUGUAGGUCAUCCCGUCUGAUGACAAAAUGAAUAAAGGUGGUCCGGUUAAUUGGUUUGUUGGGGAGAGAGAUAUGAGGGACGCCUUGGCCCAUGUUGGUCUUGGCUCAGCUUGCAAUGUGGGGGACACUGCAGGCUUCAAUAAAAUAGGUUCAGGCAGUUUUCUGCCACAGAGGAUGGCAGGAACAGAUUGUUCGACGUCCUGCUCUACUGAAAAUGAAGGUGCCCCUCAUGAGGCUUUAUCUUUUGCUCUUGGUUACCUUGGAGUGAAGGAUCUUUUGACUGUAGAAAGUGUUUGUAGGUCCAUGCGACUUACUGUCAAAAAUGAUCCUUUGUUGUGGAGGAGCAUUCAUAUUGAAAAACCAUUGAAUGAGAUCAGUGACGAUGCCCUCUUGCAAUU